AGAGUUGAUCCUGGCUAGGACGAACGCUGGCGGCGUGCCUAACACAUGCAAGUCGAGCGAGGAGAUCCUCGGGAUGAUCCUAGCGGCGGACGGGUGAGUAACACGUGGGCAACCUGCCUCAUAGAGAGGAAUAGCCUUCCGAAAGGGAGAUUAAUACCUCAUAACAUUGCAGUUUCGCAUGGAACAGCAAUUAAAGGAGUAAUCCGCUAUGAGAUGGGCCCGCGGCGCAUUAGCUAGUUGGUGAGGUAACGGCUCACCAAGGCGACGAUGCGUAGCCGACCUGAGAGGGUGAUCGGCCACAUUGGGACUGAGACACGGCCCAGACUCCUACGGGAGGCAGCAGUGGGGAAUAUUGCACAAUGGGGAAACCCUGAUGCAGCCAACGCCGCGUGAGUGAUGACGGCCUUCGGGUUGUAAAGCUCUGUCUUCAGGGACGAUAAUGACGGUACCUGAGGAGGAAGCCACGGCUAACUACGUGCCAGCAGCAGC
rnacentral:rRNA from 1 species